GAAGACUGAGGAGUUGGCAGAGAUUCAGA
rnacentral:piRNA from 1 species